CAACAGCUGCCUUGAUUGAGAUCUUGCUUCCUUAUGUACCUAUGAAGCCCACGGGGUUAGUCCUCAUUGGCCGAGCCAGUUACUUCCUGGUCAGCCAGCCAAUAGGAGCCCGAAUCCCCAAUGGCCUGGGCCUGCUCUUACUGGAAGAAUUAUGUGGCAGAUGGAAGAGGGCCACUUGAUGUGGAGAAGGCAAUGUGUGCUUCUUCUAUGCAGAAACUGUUACAUUAAAUCACAGAAUGUUAUCUGCUACUGUUCUAAA